UUGCAGCCUGCAACUCGGCUGCAUGAAGCUGGAAUCGCUAGUAAUCGCGGAUCAGAAUGCCGCGGUGAAUACGUUCCCGGGUCUUGUACACACCGCCCGUCACACCAUGGGAGUCGGGAAUGCCCGAAGUCAGUGACCCAACCGAAAGGGGGAGCUGCCGAAGGCAGGCCUGGUAACUGGGGUGAAGUCGUAACAAGGUAUC
rnacentral:rRNA from 1 species